AUGGGGCGCAGCAGGCGAGAAAACUUUGCAAUGUGCGAAAGCACGACAAGGUUAGUCCGAGUGAUUUCUGCUAAAGAGAUCUUUUGCUAGUUAUAAAACCACUAGUGAAUAAGGGGUGGGCAAGUUCUGGUGUCAGCCGCCGCGGUAAAACCAGCACCUCAAGUGGUCAGGAUGAUUAUUGGGCCUAAAGCAUCCGUAGCCGGCUCUGUAAGUUUUCGGUUAAAUCCAUGUGCUCAACGCAUGGGCUGCCGAAAAUACUGCAGAGAUAGGGAGUGGGAGAGGUAGACGGUACUCGGUAGGAAGGGGUAAAAUCCUUUGAUCUAUCGAUGACCACCUGUGGCGAAGGCGGUCUACCAGAACACGUUCGACGGUGAGGGAUGAAAGCUGGGGGAGCAAACCGGAUUAGAUACCCGGGUAGUCCCAGCUGUAAACGAUGCAGACUCGAUGAUGCAUUGGCAUAUAGCCAGUGCAGUGUCGCAGGGAAGCCGUUAAGUCUGCCGCCUGGGAAGUACGUACGUAAGUAUGAAACUUAAAGGAAUUGGCGGGGGAGCAC
rnacentral:rRNA from 2 species